AUACACGCUAAGAACGGGAACAGUAAGCGAUAUUCGCCUGAACAGAGAGCUGCGGGGUGGUGCGACGCAGCAGGGGAAUCGACUGAAGCUCGCCCGGGAGCGGCGGAAUUGACGGAGCAUAACGAUGACGCGUAGAGCUCGAAGGCCCACGAGGCUGACGGCUGCCAACGGCUCAGUUUAUGACCCAGAUUCCGACGGAGCAGUCUCCGUGAUCAACGUUUCAAGCGGGAUCGGCCUUAUGACGGUAGUGCACGACUGUCAGGAGAGCAGAUCCAACAAGAGUGGUACCGCGGCAUUGGCCUAUAAGCCUGUCGUCUCUUAU
rnacentral:ncRNA from 1 species